AACUAUUUGCAUGAGUAAGCACUCAAGGAAUGAAGUGAAUUUUCAAAGCACUCCAAAACAUAGAAAACAACUAUCAGAAGUGUUUGCAACUUUAGAAGAUUAGGACUGAACUGCAUUUCUGCAAUUAUGAACAAACUUAGGAGAAAUCUUUCUUCUUUUUAUCAGCCAGGCAGCAUUGGUGUAUUUGUUCUUAAAACAAUAUGAUGCAUUUAAUUGUCGGAGUUGGUUUGCAAAUUAGAAAUAACAAUAGAAAGUAGGAAGAAGAAUAAUUUCUUUAAAAAAGCUUGUAAAAUCCAUAAAUUAGUCAUAAAGGUAAAUAUUUGAGCAUAAGGAGUUAUGCAGACAUCAACCCGUUCCUACUGAAAGAAAUAAAAGCGGGAAGUGUUCAACUUUA